GAAAUCGGUAGACGCUACGGACUUAAAAUCCGUCGACUUUAUAAGUCGUGAGGGUUCAAGUCCCUCUAUCCCCA
rnacentral:tRNA from 11 species